GCGUAUUGUAAACAUAAGUACGAUGAAAUCCUCCCUAUUCAUGAAAUGUAUUGAACAAAUAGACUUUUUGUAUAAUACGUUAAGAAACUCCCCGUUGGUAUUUGCUAUUCUAGAAGCACCGCGAAUCAAAGUCAUCAAUUUUAGUCAUCAGAGGUACUCUGGAUCAAAUUUAUUUCCCAGUCCAAACCGCAAACCAAUUAUUGAACAAUAGCCGUGUUUCGAGUUACUCCGGAACACAGUGUUUAUUCUGUGUUUAGUCACGCCGCGUCAAAAAUGUUCCACAGGGUUACUUCCGGUUUAUCGUUGUUUACCAACAGUCGACACUUCGUGUAUUAGGCCUAGGCUUAAUUUUGUCGAUCAUCAUGAAAUUGAAAUACACAUUUAAUAGUUUGGGGUGUAUGCGCUACAUAUUUGUUUAUGAGCGUUUGAUAAGCUACUAUUGAUCUACGAAAUACAACGAAAGACUUCGUCAAGAACAGAAGACGAUGCAUGUCGUGUAACUCAUACAAGGCCCAUCUGUCUAGUAACCGGAGGGGUAAAGGAAAAGAACGUAUUAGACUCACUGAAACCUGUCAAACAGGUAUAUGGGAACAGGAUCAUUUUCCAUGCCUUUCACUUGAGGUCUUCAGUUUCAUCAUUAAUCAUCUGAAUGUCGGUAUGCCAAACUCUCAUGAUGUCAUGCCAUUACUGGAUAUUCCUUAACACUGGUUUAUUUAAGCCACACUACCUAUAACAUUGCCAAAAUAUUAGACUGAAAAUUUUCAAAUACACAAGAUUUGAAGCAGCAAAAGAAAAGAAUUACAUAUGUAUAACACACAAAAAAGAAAUUAAUUCUCACCUGGCUGAUAUGAACUUUUUACUCCUUUUUAGCUCCCUUUCACUGCAUACCAGCCAAUAACUAGCAGUCAUUAUAUGCAGAUCAGCCAUUGUUAUCAACCUGUGUAUAUAUAUGUUGAAUGAAAUAUGAAUGAAAA